GGCCUGAUAGCCUAGUGGCUAGGGCUCUGUACCACAGGUUUUGGCCCUGGAUGUUUGUAGUGGUUCGAAUCCACUUUAAACCG